rnacentral:rRNA from 1 species
AGUGAACGCUGGCGGUAGGCCUAACACAUGCAAGUCGAACAGCAGCACAGUAAGAGCUUGCUCUUACGGGUGGCGAGUGGCGGACGGGUGAGGAAUACAUCGGAAUCUACUUUUUCGUGGGGGAUAACGUAGGGAAACUUACGCUAAUACCGCAUACGACCUACGGGUGAAGGCAGGGGAUCUUCGGACCUUGCGCGAUUGAAUGAGCCGAUGUCGGAUUAGCCAGUUGGCGGGGUAAAGGCCCACCAAGGCGACGAUCCGUAGCUGGUCUGAGAGGAUGAUCAGCCACACUGGAACUGAGACACGGUCCAGACUCCUACGGGAGGCAGCAGUGGGGAAUAUUGGACAAUGGGCGCAAGCCUGAUCCAGCCAUACCGCGUGGGUGAAGAAGGCCUUCGGGUUGUAAAGCCCUUUUGUUGGGAAAGAAAAGCAGCAGGUUAAUACCCCGCUGUUCUGACGGUACCCAAAGAAUAAGCACCGGCUAACUUCGUG